rnacentral:rRNA from 1 species
GUCGUACGCUUCUUUUUCCCCGGAGCUUGCUCCACCGGAAAAAGAAGAGUGGCGAACGGGUGAGUAACACGUGGGUAACCUGCCCAUCAGAAGGGGAUAACACUUGGAAACAGGUGCUAAUACCGUAUAACAAUCGAAACCGCAUGGUUUUGAUUUGAAAGGCGCUUUCGGGUGUCGCUGAUGGAUGGACCCGCGGUGCAUUAGCUAGUUGGUGAGGUAACGGCUCACCAAGGCCACGAUGCAUAGCCGACCUGAGAGGGUGAUCGGCCACAUUGGGACUGAGACACGGCCCAAACUCCUACGGGAGGCAGCAGUAGGGAAUCUUCGGCAAUGGACGAAAGUCUGACCGAGCAACGCCGCGUGAGUGAAGAAGGUUUUCGGAUCGUAAAACUCUGUUGUUAGAGAAGAACAAGGAUGAGAGUAACUGUUCAUCCCUUGACGGUAUCUAACCAGAAAGCCACGGCUAACUACGUGCCAGCAGCCGCGGUAAUACGUAGGUGGCAAGCGUUGUCCGGAUUUAUUGGGCGUAAAGCGAGCGCAGGCGGUUUCUUAAGUCUGAUGUGAAAGCCCCCGGCUCAACCGGGGAGGGUCAUUGGAAACUGGGAGACUUGAGUGCAGAAGAGGAGAGUGGAAUUCCAUGUGUAGCGGUGAAAUGCGUAGAUAUAUGGAGGAACACCAGUGGCGAAGGCGGCUCUCUGGUCUGUAACUGACGCUGAGGCUCGAAAGCGUGGGGAGCAAACAGGAUUAGAUACCCUGGUAGUCCACGCCGUAAACGAUGAGUGCUAAGUGUUGGAGGGUUUCCGCCCUUCAGUGCUGCAGCUAACGCAUUAAGCACUCCGCCUGGGGAGUACGACCGCAAGGUUGAAACUCAAAGGAAUUGACGGGGGCCCGCACAAGCGGUGGAGCAUGUGGUUUAAUUCGAAGCAACGCGAAGAACCUUACCAGGUCUUGACAUCCUUUGACCACUCUAGAGAUAGAGCUUCCCCUUCGGGGGCAAAGUGACAGGUGGUGCAUGGUUGUCGUCAGCUCGUGUCGUGAGAUGUUGGGUUAAGUCCCGCAACGAGCGCAACCCUUAUUGUUAGUUGCCAUCAUUCAGUUGGGCACUCUAGCAAGACUGCCGGUGACAAACCGGAGGAAGGUGGGGAUGACGUCAAAUCAUCAUGCCCCUUAUGACCUGGGCUACACACGUGCUACAAUGGGAAGUACAACGAGUCGCGAAGUCGCGAGGCUAAGCUAAUCUCUUAAAGCUUCUCUCAGUUCGGAUUGUAGGCUGCAACUCGCCUACAUGAAGCCGGAAUCGCUAGUAAUCGCGGAUCAGCACGCCGCGGUGAAUACGUUCCCGGGCCUUGUACACACCGCCCGUCACACCACGAGAGUUUGUAACACCCGAAGUCGGUGAGGUAACCU